rnacentral:rRNA from 1 species
AUUGAACGCUGGCGGCAUGCCUUACACAUGCAAGUCGAACGGCAGCGCGGGGCAACCUGGCGGCGAGUGGCGAACGGGUGAGUAAUAUAUCGGAACAUACCCUAGAGUGGGGAUAACGUAGCGAAAGUUACGCUAAUACCGCAUACGCACUAAGGUGGAAAGUGGGGGAUCUUCGGACCUCAUGCUCAUGGAGUGGCCGAUAUCUGAUUAGCUAGUUGGUGAGGUAAAGGCUCACCAAGGCGACGAUCAGUAGCUGGUUUGAGAGAACGACCAGCCACACUGGAACUGAGACACGGUCCAGACUCCUACGGGAGGCAGCAGUGGGGAAUUUUGGACAAUGGGGGCAACCCUGAUCCAGCAAUGCCGCGUGAGUGAAGAAGGCCUUCGGG